UACGUAGGGUGCGAGCGUUGUCCGGAAUUAUUGGGCGUAAAGAGCUCGUAGGCGGUGUGUCGCGUCGGUCGUGAAAACUUUCAGCUUAACCGGGGGCUUGCGGUCGAUACGGGCAUCACUGGAGUUCGGCAGGGGAGACUGGAAUUCCUGGUGUAGCGGUGAAAUGCGCAGAUAUCAGGAGGAACACCGGUGGCGAAGGCGGGUCUCUGGGCCGAUACUGACGCUGAGGAGCGAAAGCGUGGGGAGCGAACAGG
rnacentral:rRNA from 1 species